rnacentral:rRNA from 1 species
AACACAUGCAAGUCGAACGGCAGCACGGGGGCAACCCUGGUGGCGAGUGGCGAACGGGUGAGUAAUAUAUCGGAACGUGCCCUGGAGUGGGGGAUAACCACUCGAAAGACUGGCUAAUACCGCAUACGAUCUACGGAUGAAAGUGGGGGAUCGAAAGACCUCAUGCGUGGAGCGGCCGAUUCUGAUUAGUAGUUGGUGGGGUAAAGGCCUACCAAGGCGACGAUCAGUACCUGGUCUGAGAGGACGACCAGCCACACUGGGACUGAGACACGGCCCACACUCCUACGGGAGGCAGCAGUGGGGAAUUUUGGACAAUGGGGGCAACCCUGAUCCAGCAAUGCCGCGUGUGUGAAGAAGGCUUCGGGUUGUUAAACACUUU